AUUGAACGCUGGCGGCAUGCCUUACACAUGCAAGUCGAACGGUAACAGGUCUUCGGAUGCUGACGAGUGGCGAACGGGUGAGUAAUACAUCGGAACGUGCCUAGUAGUGGGGGAUAACUACUCGAAAGAGUGGCUAAUACCGCAUGAGAUCUACGGAUGAAAGCAGGGGAUCGCAAGACCUUGUGCUACUAGAGCGGCCGAUGGCAGAAUAGGUAGUUGGUGGGAUAAAAGCUUACGAAGCCGACGAUCUGUAGCUGGUCUGAGAGGACGAUCAGCCACACUGGGACUGAGACACGGCCCAGACUCCAACGGGAGGCAGCAGUGGGGAAUUUUGGACAAUGGGCGAAAGCCUGAACCAGCAAUGCCGCGUGCAGGAUGAAGGCCUUCGGGUUGUAAACUGCUUUUGUACGGAACGAAAAGCCCCGGGUUAAUACCCUGGGGUCAUGACGGUACCGUAAGAAUAAGCACCGGCUAACUACGUGCCAGCAGCCGCCGUAA
rnacentral:rRNA from 1 species